GACGAACGCUGGCGGCGUGCUUAACACAUGCAAGUCGAACGCUGAAGCUUGGUGCUUGCACUGGGUGGAUGAGUGGCGAACGGGUGAGUAAUACGUGAGUAACCUGCCCUUGACUCUGGGAUAAGCCUGGGAAACUGGGUCUAAUACUGGAUAUGACAUGCCACUGCAUGGUGGUGUGUGGAAAGGGUUUUACUGGUUUUGGAUGGGCUCACGGCCUAUCAGCUUGUUGGUGGGGUAAUGGCCUACCAAGGCGACGACGGGUAGCCGGCCUGAGAGGGUGACCGGUCACACUGGGACUGAGACACGGCCCAGACUCCUACGGGAGGCAGCAGUGGGGAAUAUUGCACAAUGGGCGGAAGCCUGAUGCAGCGACGCCGCGUGAGGGAUGACGGCCUUCGGGUUGUAAACCUCUUUCAGCACGGAAGAAGCGAGAGUGACGGUACGUGCAGAAGAAGCGCCGGCUAACUACGUG
rnacentral:rRNA from 1 species